CCUACGGGUGGCUGCAGUGGGGAAUAUUGCACAAUGGGCGCAAGCCUGAUGCAGCCAUGCCGCGUGUGUGAAGAAGGCCUUCGGGUUGUAAAGCACUUUCAGCGGGGAGGAAGGCGGUGAGGUUAAUAACCUCAUCGAUUGACGUUACCCGCAGAAGAAGCACCGGCUAACUCCGUGCCAGCAGCCGCGGUAAUACGGAGGGUGCAAGCGUUAAUCGGAAUUACUGGGCGUAAAGCGCACGCAGGCGGUCUGUCAAGUCGGAUGUGAAAUCCCCGGGCUCAACCUGGGAACUGCAUUCGAAACUGGCAGGCUAGAGUCUUGUAGAGGGGGGUAGAAUUCCAGGUGUAGCGGUGAAAUGCGUAGAGAUCUGGAGGAAUACCGGUGGCGAAGGCGGCCCCCUGGACAAAGACUGACGCUCAGGUGCGAAAGCGUGGGGAGCUAACAGGAUUAGAUACCCUAGUAGUC
rnacentral:rRNA from 1 species